GACGAACGCUGGCGGCGUGCCUAAUACAUGCAAGUCGAGCGAGCGGAACCAACAGAUUUACUUCGGUAAUGACGUUGGGAAAGCGAGCGGCGGAUGGGUGAGUAACACGUGGGGAACCUGCCCCUAAGUCUGGGAUACCAUUUGGAAACAAGUGCUAAUACCGCAUAUACCACAGAUAUCGCAUGAUAUAGGUGGAAAAGGAGCAAUCCACUAAUAGAUGAGCUUGCGUCUGAUUAGUUAGUUGGUGGGGUAACGGCCUACCAAGACGACGAUCAGUAGCCGGACUGAGAGGUUGAACGGCCACAUUGGGACUGAGAUACGGCCCAG
rnacentral:rRNA from 1 species